CAUGGCGCGGUCCAGGCCCGGCCAUUGGCGCUCAUCAUGCGUCGUCAUGGAGUCCUCCAUGACGCGCUGCAUGAGUCGGGCCUCCUCCUCCUCUGUCAUGCGAGGAGGUGGAGGUGGUGACGGAGACGGAGAAGGCGACGGCGUGGGCGUAAGAGCGCACUCGUGUACGCCCGCGCACCUCCCGUGCCCGCCGCGGCCCCGUGACCGUCCCGACGAAGUAGGAGGCACGCCGCACGUCGUGCUCGUCCCUGAGCCAGGUGUCCCAGAGGGUGGAGUCGGCGGCGUACCUUGGCUCGUAGAAGAGUUCGUCGGGGAGGAGGUGGCGGUGGCGCUCGAUCUCCUCGCGGCGCGCACGACCGCUCGUCGGCACCGGAGGGAUAGGGACGCGGUCGGUGGAGAGGUGCCACACGUUGGGGAGGUGGACAUCGCUCCACGGGACCGGCGUCCUCGUCUCCCAGUAGCGCCGGCAGACCUCAACGUUGAGUUACUGCCGGUCGCGAUGGCCGGCGGGCCUAGGAGCGAUGGUGAAGGGGGCCGCAGCUUGGCGCGGUGGCGAUGCGGCCUCCUCCUUGACGGAGCCACGGCGGCGUCCCGACGAGGAGCCAGCCUCACGGUCGUAGGUGCCCUUCCGACCGUAAUUCCACAGGCCCAUGGCUGCGGCGGCCAGCGAGUUCGAGGAGGAGGCUAGGGUUCGCGGAGGGAACUGUCGGGUUUCGAGGAGGUCGCGGGGCGGCGAUGGGAACUGUGGACGACCGGUCCACAACUUCCUUAUUUAAAAAGGAUCGCGACCGUCCCCUGGACGGAUGACAGGGGGGCCUGGCCGCUCGUGCGCAUUGAUGCGGGUGGGUGGAAGGCUGGUGGCCGCCUGCCACGCGUCCCCGACGCGGACGAGCGCGCGUCCGUUUGAUGUCCUCCGUGACCAAAAUCCCGCGCAAGUUUGCGCUUGAAAUGGGUCGUGUCGGACACAAAACUGACAAAAUAGGUUCGGACCGGAAAAAAUGGGGUCGUGCGGUGGAGUUGGACUUACUGACCUGUACUGUGCAAAGCAUCGAAAGAAGCAGAAGAGUGUACAGCCGUAUAGUGUGUUUCUUGUGCGCCUAAAAAAAUAGGGAAUCGUUUUCCACCCGCGCGCCGGCCGAACCGACGCGCCAGUCGCCCCCUGGCGCGCGCGGGCCUUGCAAAAUUUUUCCAGCCGCGCGCUUCUCCGGUCAAUGGAUGCAACAUUUUUUCGUCUAAAAAUGUUGCAACCUGCGUUAUUUUUGCUGCAAGCGUUUUUUUUACUAUAUUUUUGUCUCAGUAAAAAAGCUACAUAUAAGUUUGGUUGCAACUCUAGUUCAUCGAUUUUUUGUUACAAUCGAUGUUUUUUACUUUUUGCUACAACCGUGUUAAUUUUUGCUACAACCGACAUCAUGUUUUGCUGCAACCGUUCACUAAAAAGUUGCAUACACGUCACGUAAAUUUUUGUUACAUCCGGCGUUUGACUUUUGCUACCACGUACCAUCAGCUUUGUUUUUUUGCUACGAUUACGUAGUUUUUUUUUUUGCUACAAUUUUUGUUUUUUAUUGCAACCGUUGAAAAAUUUACUGCAUGACAUCGAAAUUUUGCUGCAUAGGGAAAAAAAUGUUGCAUGCGGAUCCAACGGUGCGGACGGCGCGGGGUUGGUGGAUCCUGCGGCCCGCCCGCGGCCGGCCGAAAAUCUCGGCCGGCGCGCCGGCGCAGAUCACCCCCUAAAAAAUAACGUUGUGUUUCGUGUGGUUGGUUAGCCGUGUGCAUGACAUGUUCAGAACAUGGAAUAAGCAUAGGAUCCCAUUCUUUUGUUAGCAUGUUAAGGGCUCCUUUGAUUUAAAGGAAUUCUAUAGGAUUUUCGGAGGAUUGAAACCCUUAGAAUUUUUCCUACAUUGGUCCUUUGAAUCAUAGGAUUGAAUCCCAUUGAAAUUUUUCCUAUAAAAUCUUUUGUAAUACAUUUCAUAAGAAAUAUAACAUCCACUUCAACUUCUUUUUACAAUUUCUUUGUUUUUUUUGUGGCAUCAAACACUACUUACUAAGGGCCUCUUUGAUUCGUAGGAUUUUCAAAAUGCAGGAAUAGGAAAAACGUAGGAAUAGAGUGGCAUGUCCUUUUCUACACUACGGGAUUUGGAAGUGUGUUUGAUAGCACAGGAAAAAUAAAGAAAUUCUACAAAGAGGUUUGAGUGGAUGGAAAUUUUCCUCCAAAAUGUAGUACAAACGAAUCCUAUGAAAAAAUUCCAAAUGAUUUCAAUACUAUGAAUCAAACGACCAUCGUAGGAAAAAAUCAUAAGGAUCAAAAUUCUCCAAAAAUCCAAUAAAAUUCCUUUGUAUCAAAGGAGCCCUAAUCCUAUAGGGUUCAAAUGGACAUGCCACUCAAAUCCUCCACUUUUUUUAUUCCCACGCUUUAAAAAUCAUGUGAAUCAAAGAGGCCCUAAACGGUGAUCUAGCUGCAACUCCAAGGACCACUGAGCUCGUUGCAUGCUUUUUUCGGCCCACAUGUGUUGCCAUUUUCUCCGAACGAUACGCCACGGCUACAGUGCUCGUUGCUAUUAUUAUCGAUGCUAGUUUGCUACAGUUUACUAGUUUUGUUUUCUGGAAUUUUUUUGAAAGACUAGGUAUGCUCGCAACCAGUUUGUGCUCAACCAAGGAGAUACGUGUGACGCAAACCUAAAGAACCGAUGCAACAGAAGCGAGGAACCGAGGGGAUCCGAGUGAAGAAAAGCUAAAGAACCGAUAAAACAGAAGCGAGGAAUCGAGGGGUUUUGAGUGAAGAAAAGUCAAAGAACCGAUACAACAAAAGCUAGGAACCGAAGGGAUCCGAGUGAAGAAAAGUCAAAAAACAGAUGCAACGGAAGCGAGGAACCGAAGGGAUCCGAGUGAAGAAAAGCCAAAGAACUGAUACAACAAAAGCGAGGAACCGAGGGGAUCCGAGUGAUGCAAAUCCAAAGAACCGAUACAAUAGAAGCGAAGAACCGAGGGGAUUCGAGUGAAGAAAAACCAAAAAACCGAUACAACAGAAACGAGGAACCAAGGAGAUCCGAGUGACGCAAACCCAAAUAACUGAUACAACAUAAGCGAGGGACCAAGGGAAUCCGAGUGAAGAAAAGCCAAAAAACAAUGCAACGGAAGUGAGGAACCGAGGGGAUCCGAGUGACGCAAACCCAAUGAACCGAUGCAACGGAAGCAACGAACCUAGGGGAUCCGAGUGAAGAAAACCAAACUCAACCUAUACGAUUUUUCAAACCUAACAUGACUAUAUCACGCGUACGUUCCAUAGAGGGAUAGUGUGAGGCGAUUGUCCUACAUCACAGUUUACGAAGCGUCACAUGCCAAGUCAGAAAUAAAAAAAAACGUGUCGGUUUCACCCAAGGCGGUUGUAGGUUCCACCGAUAAACCCAUGUGGAUCUGUCGCAUGGAGGGUACUGAACUUGUGUUGAUAAAACACAUGUGAUAAAACCGGAUCUAAACGGGAUGCCAUACAUAUUGGAACUUGCACAAGCUCAUAAGGGCAUGUACAAUGCAUAGCCUGUCCCAUAUGCCAUGUAGGAUCGGAUGUGAGAAAAGGUAGGUUGGGAUAAAGAAGCGGGAUCCUUUAGAGGAGGCGGGUGUUUGAAGAGAAAAUGUGUGGUCUGGUGUAAAAAGUUAAAAAAAUUAGAGUAUAAAGUAGAGAUGCAUGUGCAUUGAAGUUUUUAUUUUUUAUCUUUGGAUAAGGCAUCCUAAUGAUAGCUUGCAUUGAAAAAAAUCAAUAUAGAUGACUCAAGUUAUUUUUCUAUCAUGAAACAUCUUUAUCCAUAUGUCACGACGUAGCUAGGGAGGUCGAAAUUUAUCUACAACCCAUAUAUUAUAGCAAAAAAUGAGUAAAAUUCAAUGUGGAUAAUACAAAUACAAAUUUUACUAUUGAACCAUCCUGAAUUAUUAAGCUGGUUACACUACUGUCAUCAUUAUACUUACCUUAAUCGACGGCUCAAACCUGCUCGUGACGGCAAGGCAGAGAAACCCAGGGACCAAGGCCAUGCCAGUCUUACUUUUGUCAGCCUACUUUGCAUAAAGCGGUCAGUACUAGCCUGCCACCCCACCUCCAAUAAUUUCUCUAAUGGGAUUGAAAAUGGAACCGUAUCACCCAGCUAGCACGAAUCAUGAGGCGACCCAAUGGUGGUGAUAGCUAUUUCUAGAGCAAGCUAUAAUAGCUAUCUGAGCCAUAACCUAGUGCGCCGUGAUUCGUGUGGGACGGAGUAGUUAAAAGUGUUAUAUAUAAGGACUAUUCGUCAUUAGGGUGAGGAAUAAUUCCUCACCUCAGUCAGAAUGUGCGCCAAAACCAACCAGGCCUCCUCUUUGUAAAUUACCUUCCCACAACAUCUAAGGCCUCGCUUGGUUCAGGUGUAUUUAUAUACACUUGUAUUUAUUUUACAGGUGUAUAAUACUGGUCUUAUUUGAUUUUUAACUCGAAAGAAAAACGACCGGUGAAGGUUUGUAUAUUUUACACCGGUAUCAAACUAAGAAACGCCAAUCCAAUCACGGCCUAAUGAGUUGUAAGAUUACCUCCUCGUAAGAUUACCUCCACAUCACACCAGCCAGUGAGCUAACAUAGUAGCCAACGUAAGAAUACAGAUGCCUUAUGUAAAAAUUGACACGUACAAGAAAGAAUGGAAGCUGACAUUCAUCACAAAUAGUAAAAUGGAAGCUGCCCAUGACAUUUUUUGAGCAACCAAUCUUUAUGAAGUGUUGAUAACUACACCAUGUAAUAAAUGUGACUUUGUUUUGAUGUCCAUGUUAACUACGUUAUGUAAAAAAUGGCACUGUUUUGACAAUCCCGCUUAUUAUGCCACUUAAGAAAUCAUGGUGAGACUUUUGCCUGAAUGUGAGUAAUCAACUAAUCAUACGGCACAAUCACGGAUGGUCAUGCAUGGAUAACAGAAGAACUGCAUGCUUGCUUGACAAAAUCAGUACAAUGUCUUUUUGGCCUUUUUUGUACUAACAUAGCAGUAUAUAUAACUAGCUCUUUGCAAAGAAAAAACCCACAACUGAAACAAUAUCACUUGCUGCAAAGGAUGAGAAGAGUAUACAAUGAAGGCAACCACUGGUUUGGUAAAUUGACCACUCCAAAAUAUUGUCAUUGACAGAGAGCAUCCACGUAUCAGAUAAUUAACAUAACUCUGAUCAGUCUGUUUAUACGGUUAUACCAUGCAUCAUACCUACCAGGUUUAAGGAUAAUCGAGGGAAAUUGCAAAAAACGUCUCCAAAGGAUCACAUUUUUCAGAAUUUAUUCAAUCAGAUUUACAGGUCCCCAACACAAGGCCUUCAUUGUUUUGUAGACUACUUUUGAUCAGUUGGAAGAGGAAGACAGGGGUAAAAUGGUGUUGCAUAACGAAACAUCACAGGAAACCAGCACCUUGCAUCGUCCCUGGAGGACUGACGCCGUCACUCAGCCAGCUGCUUCGAUGCAAGAGAGCAGUGUCAUGGGGGUGACUGGCCCGGCACCGAGGCGUCAUGGUGGCUGUGAUCAAGGAUGCCACCAUUUUUCCAUAAGGGGUGUGCAAGCACCCUGUAUAACACGAGCAGGCUGCUCUAACACCUUGCUCCAAUAAAUACAAAGAAGUCAUGUUGAAACAAGACGUCAAAAAGGGAUUCAUAAAACGCAUAGGUUUUACAUAACCGUUGAAACAGAAUGGGGGGGCCAGGAUAACAUAAGAAGCUACAAAAGCACAAUGAUCUUAAAGAAGAGACAAAACAAGUCAUAUCUGCACUAUAUCAUACAUACUGUAAGUCUGAAACUUCUGGCUAGAAUAGAGUUAUACAACAAUCAUAGAUUUAUGCAACAGUUUGAACUGUGGAAUUAGCAUUGUGCUUUUCUGAACCGAGAAGCAGAAAACUGAACAGAGCAAAAACAAAUAUAAGUACGCAAAUAGUCAGAAUGAACAGAUUAUACAAGAACAAAGGGAACCUCAAACUUCUGCUUUCCUCUUCGUAUACAAGUAAGCAAAAAUCUCUAAGAUCAUGUGCUUAAAAGUUUGGCAUGAUAAUUUACAUUCCUAACAAAAUUCGUACACACAGUUUUUUACAAGGAACGUAAGAAAUAAAAUCAUAUAAACUAGUCUGUAGCUGGGAAUUUCAAACAGUAAUGGAGAUGCAUACCAUCAGUCUAUCUAGAUUCUAAAAAAAAAUCUAGUAGUAGUCAAAAUAAAGGAAGCCACAAUUCAUUCAAGAUUCAAUUUGGGGGCAAAAGGAUAUAUUUUCGAUCCCCUAAAAAUAGGAAGCUUAUUAAAUCGUAUAUGGCAGUAGUACACCCCCCACCCCCACCCCACCCCGUGCGCACACACACACACAUACAUCAUGCACAGGAAUUCAAGCUUUUUGAAGGAAACAUGGUCAUGGUACAUGACAGUACUAAACACUCUUCCUCCCUUCAAUCAUCCAGAUAAUCAAUGGAGAAUGGAAACAAUAGUUUUUUCUUAUUAAAAAUGAUAUGUGCACAAAGCAAUAUGAAUAUAUCAUCAUAGUCCUAAAAAUAUAAAUUAGCAUCUACAUGCCGAGUAAAGGUAGACCAUAGAUAACACAAUCUAUGAAUAAAACCAAUAAGACAUCUGACUAAGCACAUACAAACUAUGCAAAAAGAAAUUAUGACAUCCGAGUACUAAGCUUGUAGGAUAGCUAUGCCUAAAAAAUAUGGGGACAAGACCAAAAUAACAUACAUAAUGUUUCAGCUCUGCACUUGAGGACGCAAUCCAUCCAAAUUCAGCUAACCAAUUUUCUUACUGAAUCUAACUUAAUUCAAGCAUAUACAUGGCAUGGGAGAGUAAACAAUACAUAUUCAUGUACAAUGACAGAGAGGGGGCAAUACUAAAGAACUCCGAUGGCGAACGCCUAGUUGCUGACUGUUGUCGUGGGAGUAUUCGCCAGUGAUGUUAAAAGAUUAUACAAGAACAAAAGCUGCUAUAUGAAAAAAGUAAACAAACACAUAAUCCGAGCAUAUAUACAUUGGAUGGGAGAGCAAGACACAUACUCAUAUAAAUUGAUGGAGAGUGGGUGAUACUGAUUGCAUUAAUAUGGUCAUAGCAAUUGAUAAAGAAAGGGCACUGGGAUUUCCUUUUUGUAGUUAUUAGUUCAUACAAUUUCUGAUUUAUCCAAUAAUCUAUGAGGAGACUGUUCGAGCUAACUCAGCAUUUUAUCCAAUAUUUACACACAGAGAUAAGGAUAGCUGAAACCAAAACAAAGUGAACACGCGAUGGUCAUAAGUGUACUUGAUUAUUAUUUUUCUCCACGCCUUAAAUCUGAACUGAACUCUUAGAUCAUGAUUCAUGUCAUCUAAAUAUUACAGUUUGAACAGGACAAUGGUUGAACUUUGAGCAAACAAUUUUUUUCUUUGGUUUGUACAAUUAUCACUGUAUAUUUUUGGAGGCAAAUCUGUCCCUGUACUAAUGAGAGCAAACUCAAAUACAGAAGAACACCCAUAAGCUUUAUACCGAAUCCUUGAUUUGUUGGAACAACCAAAAAGGCAAGUUCUGAAUUCCAAUUAGGUAGCUGCAUACUACAGCCUGCUACACUAGGAGCUCGGUAUUAUGCCUAUUUGUACUAUCUUAAGAUCAAGCUAAUUUUGCGGCGCACUUGGCCAUCUCCUGAACCGGCUGAUGCAACCAAAUUUCGGACUAAUAAACCGAAGAACAUUCGAACAAUACUCCUAAAAGUUCGGAACUCCAAUGGUUUGGUUUUGCUUCAGGGUUCAGGCUACCAUCAAACGGAGCACCUCAUAUACUGCAUGUUUGGCAAAUGAUGGGGAGAGCAACAGGAGAUUAAUGGAGGGAGUUAAAAGGGUCCCCCGGGUGAGGAAUUCUUAUUCUCACCCCAGCCCGUCUGUGCAUCCCAGCCUCAGCAGCCGAUAUUUAAUCAACAAUCCAACCUGAACUUGAGUGAGAAAAACAUUCUCCUAUAUCUUGAAUAUACAAUAGAUGUUCCCUUACUAGGAACAAACUUAUACUCCCUCCGUUCCAAAAUAUAAGACCUUUUAGGGAUUCCACUAGAAGACUACAUACGAAGCAAAAUGAGUGAAUCUAUACUCUAAAAUAUGUCUAUGUACAUCCGUAUGUAGUUUAUAGUGCAAUCUCUAAAAGGUCUUAUAUUUAGGAACGGAGGGAGUACAAGAAAGCAUGAACCUAGCAAGUAAGUAAAGAUCUAAUAUAGCCAGAUAAGAUGCAAUUCUUUACCACUUUACUGACGAGGCUUCGUGCACACUUCUCUUCCUAUAUAAAUAUGCUAAUUAAUCUAAAUAGCAGUAGCAAAGUGACUAAUAAGAAGAUACAUACAAGCAUCGAGAGAGAGAGAACCUGGGGACGGCUUGUGUGGCAGCUAUGCGACAGAGGCCAUGGGACCUGUGUUGUUGCUGCUACCGUGCAGCUAUGCGACAGAGACGGCCUCGGCUUUGUCGGGGAUCCAGAGCAAUUUUGACGGCGGGGCUGCAAGCCUUGAUUCCAUCAGAACCCCUCCUUCUCUCGCGGUGCGCGACGAAGAGAAGAGGAGCGGGGAGUGGAGGCAGGGGCCGCCGCCGGCAUGGCGACGAGAGUCCAUCCACAAAGAUGGGCAGCGCGGGUGCAUGAUAUAGGCUUAUAGAGAAGGAGGUCGGGCCAUGGUCCUCGUCCAUCGCCACGGGCAAGGAAGGCGGCGGGGGUUGGAGGCGGAUCGCCACACGGUCACCGGCCGAAGAGGACGCCACCCGCCGUGAAGCCUCUUGCAGAACCGUUCGCAUCGGUGCUGCCUCCGGCAAACGGGUCCACACGUAUCUAUGUCCGGCAGGGUAGCUGCCGGCAGCUCGCCGUCGUAACCUCCCGCCGCUCGCCUCUGAAAAACUGCUCGCCGCUUCGAUCCAAGAAUAGGGGGUUAUCCGUUUCCUUUUUUACCUUUUCUUUUACCUUUUUCGUUUGAUGGACAAAAAGAAUGAGUUAACCGCCGCCUUAAAAAAACCCUGACCGGACAGCUGUGUUGCUUGGGCCAAUGUAGAGCGAUUGCGAUUGAUGCCCUUUGUUUGAGAAGUGGGAUUUUUUUAGUCUCAACUUAAAAGUCCCUAGUCCCUACCUGUUUGUUUUUAGAGACUAGAGGUCAUUAAAUGAUAUGUAAAAAGACCAUGUUAUCCUUAAUAAUAUAGUAGUAGUUAUUAAAUUACAUGCUAAAAGUAGAGGCAUUGUUGGAAAAAGUCCCAAAAAGUCCCUCACAUAGGUACUUCUUCAAAUAAUCCCAAACACCCCACUUUAGUCCCUCAUGUUUGUUUUAUAUGAGACUUUCCAAAAAGUCACUGGAAACAAACACCACCUGAGCAGGGUCCCGGUUGGGUCGGUCGUGCGACCGGGUGAAGAAUAAGUAAUUCAUCAUCCUAGGUUAUUGGGCAGUGCCCUGCGCAAACGCGCCGGCCGGCCGCGCGGGGCCGUCCAGUCCGUCUUGCACGCGGAUCAUACUGUUAGAUCUCACAAAACAAACCAGUGUGCCCCGCGAACUACAGCGACCCGAUUAGCCCACCUCGCCUUAUUUCUGCCGCCCUGUUCCACGAACCAACACACUCCCUUCAUGUCUUUGUAUCCUCCUGAUCCCCUCUUCUUCAACCUCGGCCAUGGCGCCCCCAGCCCGUCUUCUUCGUCACACAACACACCACACCGUCCAUCCCCGACCACUGCCCGGCCGCCGCCCCAACCAACGCCCACAGCGCCCCCACCAACCCACCACCACCGUGUUGCGGGAUCCAAGCCGCCGUCCAGCCUCCAAUUUUGCAGAUCCACCGGCGACCCAACCGACCUCCUACCCCGCGACAACGCACCUCAGCCACUGCUACCUCCCACCCACGAUGGCGCACGCCAACAACUGCUACCUCCCACCUGCUGCGGCCGACAUCACCUCCGGACACAUACCUCGCCCUCGUGACGGAUCACAGCGCCGCCAUCCCCUUGCGCUGGCUCGCCGUCGGAUCUACGCGUUGCUAGCCACCGCGUGUCGUUCCGGCCCGUCCUCGACACCCUCUCCUCCAGCAACGCCUCCCUGCUGGGAUGGCCGGUGGCCAACUCUACUCCAACGUCCAACCUCGACGCCUGAAAGUUUUCUUCUCUUCGGGAGCCUGGAGUUCCGUCGUCUUGCCUUGCCCUCCUCGCCUUCUUCCUCUUCAAACAAAGCCUCGCCACUGGGAGGCUGGCCAGCAGUGCAGCCAGAUCCAUCCCCAUCCCGCCCACUGAUUAGAGGUCAACCACCGUGCCACACGCCCACACCACUCCUCCCUCCACGCCCCGUCCCACCCCCUUCCCACCCCUUCGACCAGGCCACUAAAGGAACGACUCCUUCCACAGCACCUCGCCGGAUCAGGUGGCGCAACGACGGUGACCAGGCCCAACAAGCGAACUGCCAUGGAGAGUGCCUUUAAUCCGUGCUCCACAAGGUCGCUGGCCUCCUUGCCUCGGCCAUCCUCGAACUACAAUGGCGAGUGCCUCUAGCUCGUGUGUGGAUGCCUCAGUUGUGCAGUUUUGGAGGUUCUUUUUUUGUGUGUUCUCCAUGUUUUUGCUUGCUUCAAAUUCAAAUACUGGGAAUCUCGUAUGAUCUUAUGCCUCAAUGUAUCGUAUACAGGGUCAUGUAUUUAAAUUCUCGUACUCUUCAUCGCGAUAGAGGAUGCAGUCAUUAGGUAUGUAUGUAUCUUCUGCACCUCUAAUCCUAGAUGACAGAGAACCUUCUUUUCUUCGUACUUACUGAUAUGCAAUUGGUUAUUCUUUGAAAGCUUGUUCUUCAUUAUUUUCAGUAGCUUCUAAAAUCCCUUGUCAGAUACACCAUUCUUUGCCUUUCAUUACAGCAAUUCCAGUGUGGUACCGAGCUUUGUGUUGUCAUUUUCGUAAUUUGAUACAAUCCUUUUUUGUGAUCCUCUAACAUGUGAUCGAACUUCAACUUAUCCCUUUCACUUUCACAUCAGUAAUGACCCGGUGAAGAUAAUCGUCAACUGGCACAUCUGGUGCCUCUUGAUCUUCAGCUACCCCCGUUGCAGUAUCACUGUAUUCAGGGCACAUAGGAUUCGUAUAGUUUUCAUCGUCCUCUUCUUCUUCAUUGUCUUUCAUCAUAACCCCUCUUUUUUUGUCCUUGGUCCAAACAUUAUAGUGUGCCAUAAACCCUUCUCAAUCAGGUGCAAGUGAAGGAUUUUUGAGGAAGAGUAAUACUUUGUAUUUCCACAAACAGUACAUGAACGAUACAUAAAAUCAUUCAGCUUGUUUGCCUCAGCCACUUCGAGAAAAUUAUGCAGGCCGUCAAUGUAGUCAGAGGUGUGUCGGUCACCAUACAUACAUUGUCGGUUCAUCUACGUGCAUUAUAUAAUUAAGUAUAUAAAAAACCAUCACAGAUCAUCAUGAAUAGAGAAGUAAUCAAAUUAAUACAAGUCCAUCAUCACUUUAAAACCAAAGUACGCUAGUGAUCAAAUAUUAUUACUCAAAAAAUAAAUACAUAUAGUUCUUAUAGAACAACAUACAGCUCUUUGGAGCAUCGAAUAAAAACAUACAUUAAAACUAACAUACAACUAUGUAAAACAUUUAAAUGCAACAACAAAUGCGAUCAAUAUCAUAAUUAAGGUAACAAUUGAUCCAACAUCAUAAUGAUACCAAGCCUCAUUAUCAAUGAAAUAUUUUAUAAUCUUUCUAAUCUUCAGAUGCAUUGCAUUCAUCUGGAUCUUGUGUAGAUCGACGACAUCGGCAAUAUGCAACUCCAAUUUCAUCUUCUCUUCUUCAACUCUUUUCAAAUUUUCUUUGAAAUAAUUGUUUUCUUUUUCAACUAGAUUUAACCUCUCGACAAGAGGGUCGGUUGGAAUUUCCAGUUCACAUACCUCCUAGAUAAAGACAUCUAUGUCAAGUUGGUCUGCAUAAUUGUCCUAAACACUAAAUGAAACAAGUAGUCAUACAUAUAAUAUACCACAUCUAAAUCAUAGACCAAACGAGAGACGACGGGGACGGAUACCAAAACCAUGGCACUAUAUAAUAACAAACAAUAAUAAAAAUAAGAAAAUUAUACAAGUAGUUAUAUAAAUCAUAUAGGUCAGGAUUUUUUUCUCAUAAAAUAAGAUAAUUAAGAGCAAGAGGCUCACAACGGUGGUGCAUGAGAUCGGCAUGGGCGAUCGACGGGAGUGAGGACGACGGGCUCGGGGACGGGACGUUACUCUACACAUGCGCAAACUAAAAAGUUAAUUUAAGCUCAAAUUAUACAUCUAAAUCAAAUAAAAUCACACAUACACUCCUCCAUUAAAACCCACAAACCACACUACUUCUAAAGCAUUUGAAAUGAGCUAAAGUAGUGUAGUGAGAGAUGAGGAUGAAGUUGCUAACUUUUUUAGAACACUUGGACAGUUUGUGCACCGCCAAUCCUAGACAAAUAUUACGGGAAAUGGAGCAUGGAGAGGAUAGAAACCUUAGAUGUGGCUCAAACAUUUCAUCGAACACGUCAUGUGCAUAGAAGGUGAGAACAGAGUAGCACACACCUCCCACACGCUGGCCAAAAAACAGAUGAGUGAGCGGGCAGGAACAAGCAUAUAUAUAGGUAUUUAUAGGCUAUUUUGUUCGGUUUAUCUAACUAUAGAUAUGAUUGGAAUGUACCACGUACUUUAAAUUAGCUAGUAUAUAUAGUUGAACUAGCUAUUUCAUACGUGGUUGGCAACAAUUGAAGAAAAAUUUGUUAGGUUCAGCUAUUGAGUUGAACUGUUUUGUACAAAGACCACUGCUUAAUGUAUGAAUGAAAUCCAUGUUUAGUGAAUUUUUGUUGCGAAAUUGCACCCUAAUAGUGAUUUUGUUCCUGCAAAAUUUGGUACAUGUCAAUGCUACAAUGUUGACAAAUGCCAAUGUAUUUGAUUUGACAAAUGGCAAUUUACCCAAUAUGAUAGAUGCAAAUCUUCCCAUAUUGUCUAUACUAAGCACACGGAUCAUAUUAGAGAAAUGUUUGCGAUGACGCAUUGCACUAAUUAAUCCUUCGCGCCAAUUUUUCACUUGGCUUACGGGCUAAGUAAACAUAGCUUUCAGUAUGCAAACAAGUAUUCAACCUAAACCAUUUGCAAACAAGUAUUCAACCUAAACCAUUUGCGAUGAGUGUUUAUUUAGAGAAAACAAUGAUGUUUUGUGUACUAUGUGAAUACAGAGAUAAAUACUUUGUUGAUCGAACCAUAGAUUUCAUUUCGUCAAGGUUUGUCUUUACAUUCAUACGCUCAAGAUACAAUAUAAAGAAAACUAGUUGCGGCAAUGAUGUCGUGCUCCGGAGCGCAGUUGUUCAAUUCGUCAAAAGAGACCAGCAUGUUAUGGACUUCCACAUCAAAGAGCCGGUUGUCGUGCGAUUGACGGGCAGGGGGCAGGGGCGGCGACUAGCGGCGCCGCGAGGAAGCUGUCGACGGCGGCGUCCUAAUCCACUGAGGAGGGCGUGACGGGUGCAGGCGCGCGAGAGCGAUGGGUUCAGGCGCGCAAAGGACGAUCGACACGGUGGGUGCGGACAUGCGCACGGGGACCGGUGCGUGUUGGGGAACGUCGCAUGGGAAACAAAAAAUUUUCUACGCGCACGAAGACCUAUCAUGGUGAUGUCCAUCUACGAGAGGGGAUGAGUGAUCUACGUACCCUUGUAGAUCGUACAGCAGAAGCGUUAGUGAACGCGGUUGAUGUAGUGGAACGUCCUCACGUCCCUCGAUCCGCCCCGCGAACAAUCCCGCGAUCAGUCCCACGAUCUAGUACCGAAUGGACGGCACCUCCGCGUUCAGCACACGUACAGCUCGACGAUGAUCUCGGCCUUCUUGAUCCAGCAAGAGANNNNNNNNNNNNNNNNNNNNNNNNNNNNNNNNNNNNNNNNNNNNNNNNNNNNNNNNNNNNNNNNNNNNNNNNNNNNNNNNNNNNNNNNNNNNNNNNNNNNUCAAUCAUAUAUUAUAUAUUUUUGUAUACAUGAGAAACAUGUUUAUAUACACAUUUAAUAUUUUUAAAAUGCUUGGUGAACAUUUUGUUUCAAAAAAAAUAUGUAAAGUGUUUUAUUUAUAUUUAUAAUAUUUGAAAAUAUAAACAAAAAUAAAAAAAUGGAAACAUGAACAUGAAAAAAAUAAUCAGCGCUCACCUGACGCGACGUAGGGGCGCCCAAAAGAGGGGAGCCUGUGGGAGCGCUGACUAGCAAAACCGGUGCUCACAGCAACUAUUCGUAAUGGCCCAUAAACAAGAGCCGCGCUCACUCAGGUCGUGUCAUCAUUUGUUCAUUCGAUCGAUCAGCCCGUUUGAUGAUUGCCGGUUGACGUUUGGACAAGUGACUGCUGGACUCUUCAGCUUUGCUUUUUUUUAUAAAAAAAAAACUGAAAAACUUAAAUUCAAAAAAGUUUGCAAAAACAGUAAAAACUCAAUUUGAAAAAUAUAUAAAACAUGCAAAAAAAUAAAAUUCGUGAACACUAAAAGCAAUUCAAAAUAUUUGAAAAAAAUCGAAUUUUGAAAAGGCUCAUCAAUUUUAAAAGGAGGCCGUUCAUUUGAAAAAAAAAUCAUCCAAAUUGAAGAAACAAUUCAUCAAUUGUAAUAGACAUUUUAGUAGAUUUUAAAAAAGUUAAUCAAAUUUGAAAAAAUAAAUGGCUCAAAGAAAAAUUCAAGAAAUUCGAAAAACAUUCAUUGAAUAAAAAAGAAGUUCAUACAAUUUGAAAAAAGUUCGUCAAUAUUGAAAAAACAAUCAUCUGAUUUGCAAAAUGUUCAUUGGUUUUAAAAAUAUCAUCAAUUCUGAAAACAAUUCACGAAUUUUAAUAAAACUUCAUGAAUUUUCAAAAAAUAUCAUAACUUUCGAAUGAAAGGUUCACAAAGAAAAAAACAAACAAAUUGGAAGAAAAAACGCUUUUGAGUAAAUAAAAACAAGUAAAAAUGGCUGGAGCUGACUAGAGAAAAAUAGCGAUCAGAAAUACAAAAAUAAGUAAAGAAGAAAGUUUGUACAAGUCGGUAAGGUAGCCUUGUGGUUACUCUGGUUGCCUUCGGACGCAGAGGUUACGAGUUUGAACCGUCACUUGCUCCUCUUUCUAUUUUAAAUAGAAAAAGUUUUGAAAUGAUAAAUCUACAUUCCGGUAAAUUAAACAUUUUUAUGGCAACUUUAUUUGCCGUGAGGAUUGCAUGAUUAGUUGGCAAUCAUGGUAAUUUCGUGGCAAAAACCAAACUGAUGACAAAAUGUCCAUGCUAUGAACUAAACUUUCAUCAUCGUGUGAUUAAAAUUUGCCAUGUGCAAAGCCAGAAAGUACUGGAUUCAUCUGGGCUCGGAAAAUAAGUCAUAUGGCCGGCCCAAAGCGAGGCGAGGUGUCUGCACCGGUUGAUAGUCUGUACAGUAACCAGUGCCUGAAGCGGCAAAUACGAAAUACCGGAGCUUGACGUCAGGUUUUUUAAAGAUAGGUGAGCUUCUGUUGGACCAGUCCAAGUAGCUCCGUUAAGGUUAGUUCAUUUUUCUUCUAUACUUGUACAUUCCUUGGGUUUUUGGGUUUUUUUAUAAAUAAUACAAAAUCUCAGUUUACUCGACAUUAAAAACCUUGUGAAUUUGAAAAAUCUUAACACAUCGUAAAAAUUUGUUGUUGUAAUUCUUAAAAUAUAGUGACAAUAUUAUAAAAACAUCAUGCGUUUUAAAAUGGUAUAUAAGAUUUAGCAAAACUAUUCCACAAUGGAAAAAAAUCAUGUGGUUAAAAAAUAACAUUUUUACCAUUUGAAACAGAGUUCGUUACAUUUUAAAAAGUAUCACGUGCUUCCAGAAAUAUGCUCGUGAUAUUUUUUUCAAAUAUUUAUACAAUGGAAAAAAAAUGUUGCCGAAGUUUCAAACAUUGCAGCUGAAUUAGAAAAAAUGUUUAGCGCUUAUUCAAAAAUAUGUAUUUGAAAAAAUAUUAAUCAUGUAAUUUUAAAAUGUUAAUCGUGUAUAAAAAUAGUUUGGAUGUAUAUGAAAGAAUGCACAAUAUGUAUAAAAAAAUAGACAUCAAAAGAUAUAUCGAAAAAAUAUUAAUUGUUUAUUUGGAGAAUGUUAAACGUGUGUAAGAAAUAUUUCUGAUGUAUAGGAAAAAAAUGUAUGAGGUGUGGCAAAAGUCAUGUGUUGAAGAAAAAAAUAAAAAAAACUGUAAAGAAACAUAAAAAACAAAACCAAAAAAGGAACCAUUGAAAACUACCACAAAACAUUGUUCAAUUUGAAAACCAACACAGGAACGCGAAAGAAAAGGAAAUAAAAAAAACUAGAAAACCAAAGAAUGUUGCUAAAGAAACACAUAAAAUAAGAAAGAUGGAACAAACAUAGAAAAUGUACGGUAAAAAAAUUAAGCGUAAAAGAUGAUCUUGCAAGAACCCAUAUUAGGCUAGUGGCAUGAAAAUCCUUCUGGCAAGACAGAAGAUACAGCCGCAACAUGCAAUAUGGGUUACGCCUAUGUAUGAUCUAUGCGCUUUAUAAUGGGCUUGUUUGUGAGCCGAGGGAAUAUGUCGGUGGACUGUAUGAUUAGCACUUGUAUGGCUCUUUAGUCCUGGGCUCCUGCACACUAGGGUGGCCCAAGGCAUAAGAGCAUGUACAUCGAUGGGUGAUUGUUUUCUAAAAAGAAGUUCUGAAAAAUGGUUUUCUAAAAAAUGAGGUGAUGAUUUUUAUCAAAAUAAAUAAAAUGAGUGACAAUUAGUGCAUCUUAGAUGAGGUGGAACAAAGAGAAAUUGUUGAUUGAUACAGUUAUAGUGAUAUGUUAUGUUUUAUGUUUUAUCCAUGUCAUCCCUUGUCUUGCUAUUUAUUUUACUUUAUUUUAAAUUUUUGCUACCUCUAUGGCUAUUAUUGUUUGUGCCACCAUUCAUAAUUGGUGUUUACCAUUGUUGUUGUGCCUCUAUCGUGCACCUCCUUCUAUAGCGGGGAAGGUGUUCGUCAUUAAUGUUGAACUAGAGCACGGUCAAAGGGGCCCGAGUGAGGGGAGAUGUGAAGAGGUCGCGUAAUGUUUAUUCGUGGGGAUGGAUCGAUCACAUAACAUAGACAAAAGACUAAAAAGGACUAAUUAACAAAUGAUUGGAAAUUUUGUCACAAGAGUAGCGGUCCAGCUCAUGCAAUGCGAUAUUCACAUCAACAAAAACCCAUGUAGGAUUAGUUGAAGAUCAAAUGGUCAGAAACGCCCACAAAUCAAGAUGUGAUGGUACAAAUGAUAAUGACACUUAGGAUUGAUUAAUGCAUGAUUUUAACGCCUCUAAAAUGUGAUAUAUCUUUGUUCAUCGACCCUGACUUGUCCACACCUAUGCUAUGGUCGCACCACGCCUAGCUUCGGGACGUGGAGCGGGACCUGUCGAUGCGGAAGAAACUAAGGGUGCAAUGGGAUUCGAGGAGUGCAUGGAAGGUGCCAAAAACUAAUUAUGGAGGCGGGUGCGGAGUGAUCUUGUGACGGAGGAUAUGUUAGAACCAAAGAUGCCAGAUCCAUCUCAUGUGUAAGACCGUUGAAAUAACGGUGGGAGGGGCAUGCUUGAGAGAUGAUUCAUGUUAGGGGAUAUGAGUAGGGUAUCGGUUAGAGUGGCAUUUUUUCUCCUAGAAUAGUUGCACAGGGUGGAGAGAGGAUUUGAGCAUGGAUGUCCCAACAUGCUCUGAGUCGAGAGUAAGAGCAUGGUUAUAUGAGAUAUAAUCUAGAAGAGGUUUGCAAGUGAGGUAUUUUAGGAGACCCACCCCCUAUAUGUCUUGCUUAUAAAAUGAUUCUCUCCUCCCCCCCCCCUCUCCCUCCUUCCCUUCCUCCCCCCCUCCCNCAAACGGCCCCUCCCUCUCUCUCUCUCNNNNNNNNNNNNNNNNNNNNNNNNNNNNNNNNNNNNNNNNNNNNNNNNNNNNNNNNNNNNNNNNNNNNNNNNNNNNNNNNNNNNNNNNNNNNNNNNNNNNAUGAAAAUGCAUCAUAUCCCAUUGAAUAAAAUGAAAAUGCAUGAUAUUAAGCCAUACCUGACGGUACAAGAACGCUAGUGCCGCCGAACCCCAACUCCACUUCACAUCCCAGUCACGAAGCGGAUCCAAGAACAUCCAUGAGGCUGUGUCCCCAGUGCCAUCAGGAAACACCACUUGGGUCAAAAGAUUCCAGAGAUAAGCUCUCGCGAACCUCUCCACAACAAGCGGACUAGCAUCCCUUGGGCAUCUGUGAAAAUGUCUCUGUAUCCAAGAAAACAACACACCGGAUGCCCUAGGAUCCUUCCUAGUUUCAUCAGUCCAUGGCAAGGGCGGGAAGGGCGCCGGCGCUGGGCAGGAAGGCGGCCGAGGAGCGGAGGCGGGCGGCGGCGCAGGAGGAGUCGCUGCGCACCCUCAUGUUCCUCUCCAUGUGGGGCCCCAACGCCUAGCAGCCAGCGCAUGGAUUAGCAGUAAUCCCUUCGUCUAUGUGUCGUGUCGUGUGUCCUCCGUGAUCCGUGUGUACGUACAUGGCCCAAAAAGUUAAGUAGGAGUAUGUGGAUAUCAAUAUGCAUAUGAUCUUCAGAAAAAAGAAAAAGAGUAUGUUAUGUGAAUAGCAUGCCUUUAUUGAUUGAAAAAUAUGAAUG
rnacentral:lncRNA from 1 species